GCCCGAGUCUCCCCUCGCGCGGAAUUCCCAAGGCGCAAAAGCCAGUGCGCCUGGAGACCAUUUGCACACGCGUCCCUCCGCGCCAUCCGCAGAGAUCUAGGCAGAUCCAUCCUCUCGCUCCCUCUCUCCAGCGGUAAACACCGCCGAGUCCGGCUGUGCACUGACGGACAUGCUCUCCUGUUCGUCAUAUGUUUAUAGCUCCUGCAUAAAGCCACCAUUAUAAAAUAAUCGUUACUUAACCUAUGACACAAGUGGUGUCCAUUUUGGCAUCUGUCACCGGGUUGUUUUUUCUUUCGCCUAAGCUGUCAGCCAAUUGGGACUUUUACAGUGUUCCCUUUCGAAUUAUUGUGCAAAAUAAAAUAAUAUUAUCUAAUCUCCCCCCCCCCACGCAGACAGGGAGUGCAAUCCAGUGAGGAGUUCUCCUGCACAAUCCCCACUGAAAUCCCAUUCAUUUCUAUGGGUCAACUGCCCAUGAGAUUGCACAUCCUGCGGGCAACCCUGACUCAGUUUGUUUUGUUCCCUUCUAUGCAGGUCUACUCAGAAGUAAAGUCCAUUGAAUUCAAGGGGACUUACUUCCAAGGAAUUGCAUCGUGAGCCAAUCACAUGACUUUACAGUAGCAUGUCUCAUUAAAGGUAAAGGUAAAGGUACCCCUGACUGUUAGGUCCAGUCACAAUCGACUCUGGGGUUGUGCGCUCAUCUCGCUCUAUAGGCUGAGAGAGCCAGCGUUUGUCUGCAGACAGCUGCCGGGUCAUGUGGCCAGCAUGACUAAGCUGCUUCUGGCGAACCAGAGCAGUACACAGAAACGCCGUUUACCUUCCCUCCAGAGCAGUACCUAUUUAUCUACUUGCAUUUUCAUGUGCUUUCAAACUGCUAGGUUGGCAGGAGCUGGGACUGAACAACGGGAGCUCACCCCAUCACGGGGAUUUGAACCUCCGACCUUCCAGUCAGCAAGCCCUAGGCUCAGUGGUUUAGACCACAGCGCCACCCAUGUCCCCGCAUGUCUCAUUAGAGUACAACUAAUAGUGGUACCCAUAAUGUUGCUGAGCUAAUAAGGCUGUGAUGCCUUCGAAAUUGUGAACAGGUAGAGAGGAGCUGUCUUAGCUAAAGGAACCAUUCAUCUCUACCCUUUUUCAAUAACGGGACUAUGAUGACACCCAGCUCUUUUUCUGUCAUCAUCUAAGACAGGUAACACUGUCUUAGAUAAUAAUGGUGUGGCUGAGGGUCAAUAACCUGAAGCUGAAUUUUGACAAGAUAGAGAUCCUACAGAGUGGUGGUUCCUGGGUCAAGGAAGUGGUGAAGUGGCCUAUUCUGAAUGGGGCUGCACUUGCAGAGAAGGAGCAGGUUAUUGGUGUGAGGGGGGACGUCUCUUUUUUUCAUUACAUAUUGUAUUCAUUAUGGUUAUGAUGUUGCAACAUAUACUGGGUCUAUGACAAAGGGCAGGAUAUAUAAACUGCGACUGCAACCUACUGUUACUACUUAAAAAUAGUAAGGAUAACUGGGGCCUUAUUCAGUCUGUCCUUUAUGUAUACCAUUCAGGAUGUCCAGCUCACCACUCCUAGAAGGGCUAUUGGUAGGAAAUGGAGUUGCCAGCAGUAAACUCCCAUGCCCAGAGGGUGUGGAGAUGGUGGAUAAUAGCCUUGGUAUGAAUUGAUAGCUGUCAUGCAAUAGCAUCUGGUGUUCAGCAGCUUGUCAAAAUCAGAAUAAUAUUCACAAGUCUAAAAGAACAGUGAAACGCUGGUGUUAAAAUUCAUGUUUAGAUUUUGAAUUUAAAUCCCAGAAUUUUAAAACUUUUCCCCAUUUUUCUGCUUUUGAUUUGGUGGGUUUUUUGGGGGGUGGGGGGUGUCAUUCAGCUCUCUUGGACAGUGUGACACACCAGUAGGGCAGCAGUGGCUGACAAGGAGCAGCAAUGCGAGGACUUUUAAGACUGACCAUACAAAAAGAAAAGGAAAGCCAAAUACAGUGGUACCUCAGGUUAAGUACUUAAUUUGUUCUGGAGGUCCGUUCUUAAUCUGAAACUGUUCUUAACCUGAAGCACCACUUUAGCUAAUGGGGCCUCCCGCUGCUGCCGCGCCGCCAGAGCACGAUUGCUGUUCUCAUCCUGAAGCAAAGUUCUUAACCUGAAGCACUAUUUCUGGGUUAGCGGAGUCUGUAACCUGAAGUGUAUGUAACCUGAAGCGUAUGUAACCUGAGGUACCAUUGUAAACUUUAAAAUGCAGGGCUUCUGGUUUGGGCCAGCUUUUCCCAAAAAUUAACUAAUGUUUAAUUUGGUAUUAGGUAUGUUUUUGAAAUGAUUCCCAAACUCCACCCCCGCCCAUGGCCCACUUGAAAAUUGCUGAGGGUCUUGACGGAUAACCCAAUGAGUUUUCUGCCUGUUGUAGCCGUUGUAACACACUGUGCUAGAUGUUCUAUGAUUUGGCUUCUAAAUUGUAUUUUCACAGACAAGUCAUGAACCACCUGAAUGAAGCUUGUGGAUUAUUGUGGUCCACAGUCCACGUUUUGGGAAGUGCUGCACUUAUUAGAUAUUUCUGCCCUUCUAUCAUAAAAACUCAAAACUGAUCGCACCAUUUUCAAACUCUAUGGCUGCCAUAUUAUACCCAAUAACUUGAGAGCAAAUUCUAUUGAAUUCAAUGGGAGUGUACUUCUGAGUAAAUGUCCAUUGGAUUACAUUAUAAAGCUGCAGUCCUAUGCAUACUCACCUGGCCCAUUAAACACGGCAGGACAUGCAUAAGAUUGUGCAGGACACAACUCAGAAACAUUUCAAGAUUUUUAAAACAACAACAUGCAAAUCCCAAUAAGGCUAACAUUCUAAAUAAGCACCACCCCACCCUGAUACACUGAAAGCUGACCCAACUUACAGGAUUUCUAGAGCAUUCUCUCUCCUCUGCACCAGUUAAUGAGCCCUAGGACUGAGAAUCAAUAAAAGAGGAAUGCAAGGAGAUAAACUGUGAAUUAAUAACCAGCCGUUAAACUAGGUCCCCUUUGCUUCUGCUCCUUCAGCUCCAAGGACAUUUUAGCAGCAAGUAGACAAAAGGGCAUUGCUUUUAUAAUCCUUGAAUGUGGCUUCCGGGAUGACAAUUUUUGUUUUAAAUUGACAUGGUAGUAACCUGGUAGCCCUGUUCAGCAGAGGCUGUACACUAUCUAAUCUGCCGUGCAGUUGUGCAUGAUUUGGUCCCCACUGAAAGGCAAAGGCAGCUCGCUCACUCCAACCACUAUUUAAAAGGGGGCAAAAGAAGCAAGAGCGAAACAAGACAGCAGGAAGACUGGGGAGCCUCACAAGUGGUGUUGGUUUCACAAGGGCUUCUUUAGACUGGCAGCAGUGGCGGAAGGAAAGCCUUGACUAUUUUAAUGAUGGUUUUAUGCUCUUUAAGUAGACAAAUGUAACUGGGAUGAAAUAGCACACACAUUGUGAAAUCUCCCUCACACACAGUAUGGAGCUCCUUUGAUGAAGGGUGGGGUGCAAACUUCAUCACCUCUAUAUGCAUAUUUUUAUUGAUUCUCUUGUUUUCAGUUCAAUGCUGCUUCAAGACAGCCAUAAUCCACAUUCACGUUUUAAGCAUUUGAAUCAUGGAACUGUAGGCUUGGAAAGGGUCCUCAAAGCUCAUCUAAACCAAUGCCUGUAGAUGCAGGAAACCCAUAACUCCCGCAUGCUUGACAGGUGGACAUCCAGCCUCUGUUUCAAGAUCUCAAAUGAAGGAGAGUCUGCCACCUUCGGAGGCAGUCAGUUGCAUGGUUCUUCCCAGCGUUUAGUCUAAAUCCUUCUAAUUUAAACCCUGGUCUCACUCUGAAGCGUGCCCUACUGUGUUCAUUGAGGCUUAUUCCCAAGAAAGACUGUAGCUUGGGAAGCGCUUAGCUUUGGCUAGGUUGAGCUAUACCAAAGUAAUUAUUCAUUGCCAAUUAAGUAGCAUCUGAGCACUUCAGAUAUUACAGAUGAACAAUCCUAUUAAAUCUGCCAUGAAAGCGCACAAGAGGCAUAUAUAGUUGAUAAUUGGUAAAAUAGUUUUCCCCAUCUUUAUUUUCUACAAACAUAAAAUCUUAAACCAUGAAGUAUUGAGAUCAGGCUCAGCUGAGAGCCCAGUGAACAAUGGAAAAAUGUUUCUCAAUCAUUCUUUUAGAUUCCCAUGGAGGUUUGCCAAUGUGUUUUGCUCAGCUCUUCCUCUCCCCCCUUCAGCAAUUGAAUAAAAUAAUUAUUCUCAUGUGAGUCUCUGCAUUAAUAUUAUGAAAAAUCAUUUUAUACUCUAAUAUGGCUACGCUCAAAUUACCUAUCCAGACUAGGGGUUCAAAUACGGUACCUGGCUGAUGUCUUAAAAUAGUAAUGUUAACUAGAUGGAGAAGCAUUCAAAUAAAUUAGACUCUAGAAACUAUAAAACCAGUAGAAACAUCCACGUUUCUACUUACAAUAUACUCGGGAUGUAACUGAAUCAUUGCUGUUCCACAAUUAAGUGCCUUAGGGUGCAAUAGCCAAAUCACUGCACAUGCAGAAGUUCAGAGCCCCUGAAGUUAUGGGAAUGUCGCAGAGGUGCUAUGACAAGUAUUUAGGGCUUUGGGCCUCAGGCUGAACUAUUCUCAAGGCAAACAAAGAAGGCACAAUUUAUUUAUUUAAUUUGCUGCUGCAAGAUAUGGUGCCGCUGACCCAGAUGGCUUAAGAGGGGAACCCACUGUUAUUAGUAAUGAUAAUUAAAUGGAUAUUUCAUGAUCAGAGGCAGUGUACCUCUGAACACCAGCAACUGGAGGAGGGACACAGCCUUAAUGCCUUGUUUGUGGGCUUCCCAGAGGCCACUGUUGGAAAAAAGAAUGUUAGACCAGAUACUAGACCUUUUAUCGUCUGAUCCAGCAAGACUCUUCUGAUGUCUUAAGUGCCACAUAUCCUGAAUGGAUCUAUCUUUAAACUAAAUCUGGGGUGGCCGUGUUACCUGGCUCCUGAGAGCCCUGCUGAAAGAUCUCAUAUCAAUAUAAUAAUUCUCCCUUGAUACGUUGUGCAUCAUGUCCCAACAGCGUCCAAGCAAUGUUUGCUCCAUACCUUAUUUAGCUCUUAAUGCCUGGCACCAGCUUUUGUUUAAAGAGCUUGACCAGCUGUUACAGGGUAGGGACUGAGUGGGAAGGGAAGCUUGUGGGCCCCACACCACUGUUUGAAGAAUGGUCUGGUUCCUUGCUACAAAGAACACGGUUCCUCUGUGCUAAGUGCAAUAUGGCAUCUGUCAAAUGUGCGUGCAGGGCACAGCUCUGCCAUGCUAGAAUUAAUUUAGAGCUUCCUAAUGUGAGUUCGUCCUGCUUUCUUUCAUGCACUGUCCUCCACCAAAUUCUCUGUUAUCUUCUCUCUGUUGCUCCUUUUUCUUUUCACAGUGUAGCAAAGCAGUGCUAAUGUGGCCAGGGAACUGCAAAGCCACCUACUUUGUUGGUAUCUUUGUCAACAUGAUGAACCAUAGAACAGUAGAGUUGGAAAGGACCUCUAGAGACUUCUAGUCUGACCCCCUACAAUGCAGGAUUUUCAACUAAAGAAUCCAUGACAGAUGGCCUUCCAACAUCUUCUUAAAAACCUCAAACGACGGAGAGUCCACAAAAGUUCUACCUGACCCUUAAUAGAAAGCUCCUUUCUUGUAACUUGAAUCCAUUGGCUUAUGUCCCAUCCUCCGGAGCAGGAGAAAAAACUAGCUUGCUCUGUCUUCCACGUGACAGUCCUUUAGAUAUUUGAAGAUGUCUAUCAUGUCUCCUCUCAGUAGCCUCUUAUCCAGGCUAAAAAUACUGAACUCAAACUAGGAGUUGAGCACUGUCUCAGGCUGACUGCUCUGCAAUGGGGAACAAGAGCAAAUAGGUCAGUUUCCUGGGUUAUUGCAAGCCUACAUACCUUAAUUCUCUUACUGAAUGUCAGAAGAGCUGGAUGAUUUUAAAAAUAGUAUCGCUGCAUGUGUUCAAAAAAUAGGAUGAGUUUUGCAUUUUAUUCUGCCCAUUCGAAAGCAUGUUGGGAUGCAUUGAAAGGGUUAGGAAAGAACUCAUCUUUAGAGUUCCCUCUUGUGGAUAUUCUGUGUACAGAAAAAUUCCACAGUGGAUUUAAAAAAUAUUCCUCAAAAUGCAGUCCUGUAUACUGUCAAGCUUAAAGUUGCAAAAGCUGUUUCUUAAAUCAUAUAAACUCCAGGAUGUUGUGGAGAAAAUACCAAUCUAAGCUGGC